GCGCCGGUGGUACAACGGUUCGAGCAUGCGUCCCCGGCUAGGAUGGGAUGCGGGUUCGAGUUCCAUCUGAUGCA